GAUGAACGCUAGCUACAGGCUUAACACAUGCAAGUCGAGGGGAAACGGCAUCGAAAGCUUGCUUUUGAUGGGCGUCGACCGGCGCACGGGUGAGUAACGCGUAUCCAACCUGCCCAUCACCUGGGAAUAACCUUGCGAAAGUAAGACUAAUGCCCAAUGACAUCCCACGAAGGCAUCCGAAUGGGAUUAAAGAUUUAUCGGUGAUGGAUGGGGAUGCGUCUGAUUAGCUUGUUGGCGGGGUGACGGCCCACCAAGGCAACGAUCAGUAGGGGUUCUGAGAGGAAGGUCCCCCACAUUGGAACUGAGACACGGUCCAAACUCCUACGGGAGGCAGCAGUGAGGAAUAUUGGUCAAUGGGCGAGAGCCUGAACCAGCCAAGUAGCGUGCAGGAGGACGGCCCUAUGGGUGGUAAACUGCUUUUAUAAGGGAAUAAAGUGGGUCACGUGUGACUUUUUGCAUGUACCUUAUGAAUAAGGACCGGCUAACUCCGUG
rnacentral:rRNA from 1 species